rnacentral:rRNA from 1 species
UGGGGAGAAGACAUUGUGUCUUCGAGUCGUUGAUUUCACACUGCCGAGAAAAGCCUCUAGAUAGAAAAUAGGUGCCCGUACCGCAAACCGACACAGGUAGUCAAGAUGAGAAUUCUAAGGUGAGCGAGCGAACUCUCGUUAAGGAACUCGGCAAAAUGACCCCGUAACUUCGGGAGAAGGGGUGCUCUUUAGGGUUAACGCCCAGAAGAGCCGCAGUGAAUAGGCCCAAGCGACUGUUUAUCAAAAACACAGGUCUCUGCUAAACCGUAAGGUGAUGUAUAGGGGCUGACGCCUGCCCGGUGCUGGAAGGUUAAGAGGAGUGGUUAGCUUCUGCGAAGCUACGAAUCGAAGCCCCAGUAAACGGCGGCCGUAACUAUAACGGUCCUAAGGUAGCGAAAUUCCUUGUCGGGUAAGUUCCGACCCGCACGAAAGGCGUAACGAUUUGGGCACUGUCUCAACGAGAGACUCGGUGAAAUCAUAGUACCUGUGAAGAUGCAGGUUACCCGCGACAGGACGGAAAGACCCCGUGGAGCUUUACUGUAGCCUGAUAUUGAAAUUCGGCACAGCUUGUACAGGAUAGGUAGGAGCCUUUGAAACGUGAGCGCUAGCUUACGUGGAGGCGCUGGUGGGAUACUACCCUAGCUGUGUUGGCUUUCUAACCCGCACCACUUAUCGUGGUGGGAGACAGUGUCAGGCGGGCAGUUUGACUGGGGCGGUCGCCUCCUAAAAGGUAACGGAGGCGCUCAAAGGUUCCCUCAGAAUGGUUGGAAAUCAUUCAUAGAGUGUAAAGGCAUAAGGGAGCUUGACUGCGAGACCUACAAGUCGAGCAGGGUCGAAAGACGGACUUAGUGAUCCGGUGGUUCCGCAUGGAAGGGCCAUCGCUCAACGGAUAAAAGCUACCCCGGGGAUAACAGGCUUAUCUCCCCCAAGAGUUCACAUCGACGGGGAGGUUUGGCACCUCGAUGUCGGCUCAUCGCAUCCUGGGGCUGUAGUCGGUCCCAAGGGUUGGGCUGUUCGCCCAUUAAAGCGGUACGCGAGCUGGGUUCAGAACGUCGUGAGACAGUUCGGUCCCUAUCCGUCGUGGGCGUAGGAAAUUUGAGAGGAGCUGUCCUUAGUACGAGAGGACCGGGAUGGACAUACCUCUGGUGUACCAGUUGUCGUGCCAACGGCAUAGCUGGGUAGCUAUGUGUGGACGGGAUAAGUGCUGAAAGCAUCUAAGCAUGAAGCCCCCCUCAAGAUGAGAUUUCCCAACUUCGGUUAUAAGAUCCCU